UACAGAGGUCCCGAGCGUUGUUCGGAUUCACUGGGCGUAAAGGGCGCGUAGGUGGUGGGGUAAGUCUCGUGUGAAAGCUCGCAGCUUAACUGCGAAAAGUCACGGGAUACUAUUCCGCUGGAGGCUUGGAGGGGGGACUGGAAUACUUGGUGUAGCAGUGAAAUGCGUAGAUAUCAAGUGGAACACCAGUGGCGAAGGCGAGUCCCUGGACAAGACCUGACACUGAGGCACGAAAGCCAGGGGAGCAAACAGG
rnacentral:rRNA from 1 species